rnacentral:tRNA from 1 species
GCAUUAAUGGGGUAGUGGUAACCUGGGUCGUUCCCAUCGACCCGCCGGGGGUUCGAUUCCCCCUUAAUGCA